CCUACGGGAGGCAGCAGUGGGGAAUAUUGCACAAUGGGGGAAACCCUGAUGCAGCGACGCAGCGUGCGGGAUGACGNCCUUCGGGUUGUAAACCGCUUUCAGCAGGGAAGAAGCGCAAGUGACGGUACCUGCAGAAGAAGUACCGGCUAACUACGUGCCAGCAGCCGCGGUAAUACGUAGGGUACGAGCGUUGUCCGGAAUUAUUGGGCGUAAAGAGCUCGUAGGUGGUUGGUCACGUCUGCUGUGGAAACGCAACGCUUAACGUUGCGCGUGCAGUGGGUACGGGCUGACUAGAGUGCAGUAGGGGAGUCUGGAAUUCCUGGUGUAGCGGUGAAAUGCGCAGAUAUCAGGAGGAACACCGGUGGCGAAGGCGGGACUCUGGGCUGUAACUGACACUGAGGAGCGAAAGCAUGGGGAGCGAACAGGAUUAGAUACCCUGGUAGUCCAUGCCGUAAAGCGUUGGGCAACUAGGUGUGGGGGG
rnacentral:rRNA from 1 species